rnacentral:rRNA from 1 species
GACGAACGCUGGCGGCGUGCUUAACACAUGCAAGUCGAACGGAAAGGCCCUGCUUUUGUGGGGUGCUCGAGUGGCGAACGCGUGAGUAACACGUGAGUAACCUGCCCUUGACUUUGGGAUAACUUCAGGAAACUGGGGCUAAUACCGGAUAGGAUCUCCUGCUGCAUGGUGGGGGUUGGAAAGUUUCGGCGGUUGGGGAUGGACUCGCGGCUUAUCAGCUUGUUGGUGGGGUAGUGGCUUACCAAGGCUUUGACGGGUAGCCGGCCUGAGAGGGUGACCGGCCACAUUGGGACUGAGAUACGGCCCAGACUGCUACGGGAGGCAGCAGUGGGGAAUAUUGCACAAUGGGCGGAAGCCUGAUGCAGCAACGCCGCGUGCGGGAUGACGGCCUUCGGGUUGUAAACCGCUUUCGCCUGUGACGAAGCGUGAGUGACGGUAAUGGGUAAAGAAGCACCGGCUAACUACGUG